GAACUGUGUUUGUGUCACCCCCUCUGGAUUUACUUCAGCCUGAGACGUUACCAGAUCAAAGGGAUACUCGCCCUCUAAAGGCUGAACUCUAUUUCUCCCCAAAAGAGAUCUGAAACUUUUUCUAAAGUCGGGAGAUAUCGUGGCAUACAACACUGGCUGGAUGAUGUGACUGAGAGGAAGAAAUACAAAAGAUACCUUCGUGAGUAAAUGUUCCAGGUCCUCCGACGUCGUCCAGUACAUGCGGACGAAGUUGAUGAUGAGGAAGGGGACUUCCACGAUGACUAUGGUGAGCGUGAUCUUGAGCGCAGUGUUGGAGCGUGUCACGUUACGGUUGUGCUGGGCGAGACCGAACAAACGCCGCUCUCGCUGGAUCACUUCGAGAUGUUUCCUCGCGAUUAUGUGUAGGUGGAUGUAGAUGAAGGGGACGAUGAUGGUGAUGACGACGAUUCCGACCGCCCACUGGACGAGGUGGAUCCUCCAUAUCCCGUAUAUCGUCCGGUAACAGUACGUUAUAUCCUCCUUUGGUGGAUCUAAGGUUAUUCUCUGCAGGAUGGUCCAGAUCAUGUAAAUAGAAGCGACCCCCCAUGAGGCGAAGAUGGACGUCUUGAUUCUACAAUCGGUAAUGAUGUAGCAAUGCGUCAGGGGUUUCAGGAUGGUGAUGUACCGUUCCAGAGCAAUGAGAAGCAGUGUAGAACACAGGAUGGAACGGUAGUAAGAAAACACAGCCUGCGUCCAGAUACAUACUUCUGGGUUUGUUACACUAUACAUUCCACUUUGUAUGUAUUCACUGAAACACCAUGCCACGAGAAAGAUGUAUGUCAGCCUGCAAGAGAACACACGAAUAACAUUAAAACUGACAUGCCUGUAUUUACACUUGAUGAAUGCAUAUUUAAUUGAUUAUGUAAAGCUUUUGCCUUAAUGAUAUGGUAGUGUGACUCAUUAAGAAAAAGGUUCUGUGUAUGAUACCUUUCUGCCAUUUUUUUUUCUUUCUUUCUCUCUUCCUCUAUCAUCUUUUUAUUUACUAUAUCCUAUUUAUUUCCCUAAUGAUGAAAUCGCUAUGUUACGCUCCGGAAUAAACGCACUCUCUCACUC